CCUACGGGUGGCAGCAGUGAGGAAUAUUUGUCAAUGGCCGGAAGGCUGAACCAGCCAAGUCACGUGAGGGACGAAUGCCCUUUGGGUUGUAAACCUCUUUUAUAAGGGAAGCAUUAAUACUACGUGUAGCAUGAUGCCUGUACCUUAUUAAUAAGCAUCGGCUAACUCCGUUCCAGCAGCCGCGGUAAUACGGGGGAUGCGUGCGUUGUCCGGAUUUAUUGGGGUUAAAGGUUGCGUAGGCGGUUUCUAAAGUUAGUGGUUAAACGUCGGGGCUUAACAUUGAUUUGCCAUUAAUAAUGUAAGACUCGAGUUAAGACGAGGUAGGCGGAAUAAGUUAAGUAGCAGUGAAAUGCUUAGAUAUAA
rnacentral:rRNA from 1 species